UCUUCUUUUUUCUUUCUUUGUGAAGUUUGACGGGAAGCUGGAAAACGGUGGUUCGAAGUUUCCAAGUUUGGUUUUUCUGGUUUCUUAGAUUAGGGCUUCAGUGUGAGCAGCCCCUCACUCCAUCUUCUCAUUUGUUCUUCGAAGUCUAGGUUGCAGCCUCUGCAUUGCCAGUGUCAGGACAACCACCACGUUGCCGCCGUCGUAACCACCGCAAAGACAACGUUCGAGGAACCCAGUUGAAAGAGUCUCCGCUGUUGCUGUCGAGUUCAACAACUUCCUUGCCGUCGUCAUAGGUUGUGUAACCUAGGUUAGUUAUGGCCAAAUUUCUUUAACUGAUUUUGUUCGUUUUUUUAUGUCGCAACUUACGUUCUGUGGAUUUGGUUCUUUGUUCUACUAGAUGCAUAGAAAGAAUAUUUCUUUUUCUCUCUUCAAUGCGAUUCGGUUCUUUGUUCUAAUGUAUAGAUGCGGAGAUAGCUUCUAUGGAUUUGGUUCUAUGUUCUCA